GUUCCGAAAGUACGAUCGGUUUUCUGAGCCGCCACUUCUAUCGUUCUAGAUCUAAAGCCGAAGUUUCGAAACCUAAAGCUCCGACGAACUUCCGGCGAAGGUUCGGCGAGCUUUUCCAGCCAUCUUGGACAUCUCCUGCGAAAACCGUCGCCAUCUAGAGAUGACUCUGUUCUUCAUCUUUUUCGACCGCCGGUGACCCCUACCCCUCCCUGCUGCUGCACAUCGUGCCACCCUUGGGACGUGCGCCCCAACUCGUGACCCCUUGCGCUACUGGUUCCAGUCUGGCCGGCAAGGCUAUCUCCGGCCAGCUGCUCCGACGUGGCCUCAUCGUGCCCCAUGUGCGGGGCUGCGCAUCACUGGUCACGUUGGGCCUCUUGGUCAGCUGGUGAGCUCCCACCUUGGCGUCUUUCCCUGGCCAGGAGGCAAGGCGAGCCUCCUACCACUCACGUACACAGUGAACGCCAUGGCCAUGGAGGUUACGAUCCGUACAGGCACAAGAUAGAAGAUGAGACGAGAACUGUUUGUGGACGUUGAAGAUGAGAAGAUGAUGACCAAAAGCUGUUGGUGUGAGAAUUGAGCAAGUGCUUAAGGCAAGUAUAACUUGGGAUCAUCCUUGUUACCUAUUCACUUAUAACUACACAUAUAUGUCAUAUGCAUGCUUU